rnacentral:rRNA from 1 species
UACGGGGGGGGCAAGCGUUGUUCGGAAUUACUGGGCGUAAAGGGCUCGUAGGUGGCCAACUAAGUCGGACGUGAAAUCCCUCGGCUUAACCGGGGAACUGCGUCUGAUACUGGAUGGCUUGAGUUUGGGAGAGGGAUGCGGAAUUCCAGGUGUAGCGGUGAAAUGCGUAGAUAUCUGGAGGAACACCGGUGGCGAAGGCGGCAUCCUGGACCAACACUGACGCUGAGUGAGCGAAAGCCAGGGGAGCAAACGGG